AAAUUGAAGAGUUUGAUCAUGGCUCAGAUUGAACGCUGGCGGCAGGCCUAACACAUGCAAGUCGAGCGGUAGCACAGAGAGCUUGCUCUCGGGUGACGAGCGGCGGACGGGUGAGUAAUGUCUGGGAAACUGCCUGAUGGAGGGGGAUAACUACUGGAAACGGUAGCUAAUACCGCAUAAUGUCGCAAGACCAAAGUGGGGGACCUUCGGGCCUCAUGCCAUCAGAUGUGCCCAGAUGGGAUUAGCUAGUAGGUGGGGUAACGGCUCACCUAGGCGACGAUCCCUAGCUGGUCUGAGAGGAUGACCAGCCACACUGGAACUGAGACACGGUCCAGACUCCUACGGGAGGCAGCAGUGGGGAAUAUUGCACAAUGGGCGCAAGCCUGAUGCAGCCAUGCCGCGUGUGUGAAGAAGGCCUUCGGGUUGUAAAGCACUUUCAGCGGGGAGGAAGGCGUUAAGGUUAAUAACCUUGGCGAUUGACGUUACCCGCAGAAGAAGCACCGGCUAACUCCGUGCCAGCAGCCGCGGUAAUACGGAGGGUGCAAGCGUUAAUCGGAAUUACUGGGCGUAAAGCGCACGCAGGCGGUCUGUCAAGUCGGAUGUGAAAUCCCCGGGCUUAACCUGGGAACUGCAUUCGAAACUGGCAGGCUAGAGUCUUGUAGAGGGGGGUAGAAUUCCAGGUGUAGCGGUGAAAUGCGUAGAGAUCUGGAGGAAUACCGGUGGCGAAGGCGGCCCCCUGGACAAAGACUGACGCUCAGGUGCGAAAGCGUGGGGAGCAAACAGGAUUAGAUACCCUGGUAGUCCACGCCGUAAACGAUGUCGAUUUGGAGGUUGUGCCCUUGAGGCGUGGCUUCCGGAGCUAACGCGUUAAAUCGACCGCCUGGGGAGUACGGCCGCAAGGUUAAAACUCAAAUGAAUUGACGGGGGCCCGCACAAGCGGUGGAGCAUGUGGUUUAAUUCGAUGCAACGCGAAGAACCUUACCUGGUCUUGACAUCCACAGAACUUUCCAGAGAUGGAUUGGUGCCUUCGGGAACUGUGAGACAGGUGCUGCAUGGCUGUCGUCAGCUCGUGUUGUGAAAUGUUGGGUUAAGUCCCGCAACGAGCGCAACCCUUAUCCUUUGUUGCCAGCGGUCCGGCCGGGAACUCAAAGGAGACUGCCAGUGAUAAACUGGAGGAAGGUGGGGAUGACGUCAAGUCAUCAUGGCCCUUACGACCAGGGCUACACACGUGCUACAAUGGCAUAUACAAAGAGAAGCGACCUCGCGAGAGCAAGCGGACCUCAUAAAGUAUGUCGUAGUCCGGAUUGGAGUCUGCAACUCGACUCCAUGAAGUCGGAAUCGCUAGUAAUCGUAGAUCAGAAUGCUACGGUGAAUACGUUCCCGGGCCUUGUACACACCGCCCGUCACACCAUGGGAGUGGGUUGCAAAAGAAGUAGGUAGCUUAACCUUCGGGAGGGCGCUUACCACUUUGUGAUUCAUGACUGGGGUGAAGUCGUAACAAGGUAACCGUAGGGGAACCUGCGGUUGGAUCACCUCCUUA
rnacentral:rRNA from 1 species